rnacentral:sRNA from 1 species
GUCGUGAGAUGUUGGGUUAAGUCCCGCAACGAGCGCAACCCUUGUCCUUAGUUGCUACGCAAGGGCACUCUAAGGAGACUGCCGGCGACAAACCGGAGGAAGGUGGGGAUGACGUCAAGUCCUCAUGGCCCUUAUGGGUAGGGCUUCACACGUCAUACAAUGGUCGGUACAGAGGGUAGCCAACCCGCGAGGGGGAGCCAAUCCCAGAAAGCCGAUCGUAGUCCGGAUCGCAGUCUGCAACUCGACUGCGUGAAGUCGGAAUCGCUAGUAAUCGCGGAUCAGCAUGUCGCGGUGAAUACGUUCCCGGGUCUUGUACACACCGCCCGUCACACCAUGGGAGUGGAAUCCGCCAGAAGUAGGUAGUCUAACCGCAAGGGGGACGCUUACCACGGUAGGUUUCAUGACUGGGGUGAAGUCGUAACAAGGUAGCCGUAUCGGAAGGUGCGGCUGGAUCACCUCCUUUCUCGAGAAGACGGUGCGCCAAGCAGGACUGGCUGAUGGGUUAAACCAUGGGCUGGGCUGCGUGGGGCAUCCAAGUCUGGAGCAGUACCUACAACCUAUCGGUUGUCUAGAAACUAGUGUUUAGAAACUGGAAACUAGAUGAAGUGAGCGGCGUGCAGCGCCGGGGCUACAGUCGCGGCGAAUGCCGCGCUGGUUUAAGACUAGUUUCUAGUUUCUAGUCUCCAGUAACUAGUAUCUAGUCGGGUCUGUAGCUCAGUUGGUUAGAGCACCGUCUUGAUAAGGCGGGGGUCGGUGGUUCGAGGCCACCCAGACCCACCAGCUAGAGACUGGUGUCUAGAAACUAGAGACUAGGGGAUGGCUGGGGCAUGGUGGGUGGAGUGUGGUGUGCUUUAGUCUAGUUUCUAGCGACUAGUUUCUAGCCACUAGACGGGGGUGUAGCUCAGCUGGGAGAGCACCUGCUUUGCAAGCAGGGGGUCAUCGGUUCGAUCCCGUUCACCUCCACCAGCUAGAGACUAGUGGCUAGCGACUAGAAACUAGUUAAGGCGGCGGUGCCGAGGGCUGUAGUGCGGGUGUGGCGCUAGCCGCGCUGAUGUAGGUUUAGUUUCUAGCGACUAGUUUCUAGCAUCUAGAAAAGGUAGAACAGAGGGUACCGGGGACGGGGCGGUGGCUUGUGUUCUGGUCUUUUUGGUCAGCAGUGGUAUCGGUUGUUCUUUAACAAUUAGGAAGAAGUAAAGGUCUGUCUUCUGGGGUAACCUGGGGGAUGGAUUGGGUAAGAUUGUAAGGAACAUGAUCCCGGCUUUAGUCAGCGACGGGAUUGUGGCAAACACCUGAUGUUAUGACGCGCGUAGUGUUUAGCGUUAUAGGAUCAAGCGAAUAAGUGCAUAGGGUGGAUGCCUUGGCGAUCACAGGCGAAGAAGGACGUCGUAGCGUGCGAAAAGUUUCGGGGAGCCCGCAACCAGGCUUUGAUCCGGAAAUGU